rnacentral:rRNA from 1 species
UACGGAGGAUGCAAGCGUUAUCUGGAAUGAUUGGGCGUAAAGCGUCCGCAGGUGGCUGUGUAAGUCUGCUGUCAAAGAGCAAAGCUCAACUUUGUAAAGGCAGUGGAAACUACACGGCUAGAGUGCGUUCGGGGCAGAGGGAAUUCCUGGUGUAGCGGUGAAAUGCGUAGAGAUCAGGAAGAACACCGGUGGCGAAGGCGCUCUGCUAGGCCGCAACUGACACUGAGGGACGAAAGCUAGGGGAGCGAAUGGG